AACGAACGCUGGCGGCGUGCCUAACACAUGCAAGUCGAGCGAGAAAGCCCGCAAGGGUGAGUAAAGCGGCGCACGGGUGCGUAACACGUGGGUAAUCUGCCCUAGAGUCCGGAAUAACUCGCCGAAAGGCGUGCUAAUGCCGGAUGAGACCACGGGAGCUUCGGCUCCUGGGGGAAAAGGUGGCCUCUGUACACAAGCUAUCGCUCUAGGAUGAGCCCGCGGCCCAUCAGCUCGUUGGCGGGGUAAUGGCCCACCAAGGCUACGACGGGUAGCUGGUCUGAGAGGACGAUCAGCCACACUGGAACUGAGACACGGUCCAGACUCCUACGGGAGGCAGCAGUGGGGAAUCUUGCGCAAUGGGCGAAAGCCUGACGCAGCAACGCCGCGUGUGUGAUGAAGGUCUUCGGAUCGUAAAGCACUGUCGCGAGGGACGAAUAAGGGCCGGGCUAACAUCCCGGUCCGAUGACGGUACCUCGAGAGGAAGCACCGGCUAACUCUGUGCCAGCAGCCGCGGUAAUACAGAGGGUGCAAGCGUUGUUCGGAAUUAUUGGGCGUAAAGCGCGUGUAGGCGGCUUAGUAAGUUGGGUGUGAAAGCCCUCGGCUUAACCGAGGAAGUGCGCCCAAAACUGCUUGGCUUGAGUGCCGGAGAGGGUGGCGGAAUUCCCGGUGUAGAGGUGAAAUUCGUAGAUAUCGGGAGGAACACCAGCGGCGAAGGCGGCCACCUGGACGGUAACUGACGCUGAGACGCGAAAGCGUGGGGAGCAAACAGGAUUAGAUACCCUGGUAGUCCACGCUGUAAACGAUGAGCGCUAGGUGUUGUGGGUGUUGACCCCCGCAGUGCCGCAGCUAACGCAUUAAGCGCUCCGCCUGGGAAGUACGGCCGCAAGGCUA
rnacentral:rRNA from 1 species